rnacentral:rRNA from 1 species
UUCGCAGGGGGUUUGCCGAGUCUGAUGUGAAAUCCCGCAGCUCAACUGCGGAACUGCAUUGGAUACUGGUGAACUAGAGUUCACGAGAGGUGAGCGGAAUUCCUGGUGUAGCGGUGGAAUGCGUAGAAAUCAGGAAGAACACCGAUGGCGAAGGCAGCUCACUGGAGUGUAACUGACCCUCAGGGACGAAAGCGUGGGGAGCAAACAGGAUUAGAUACCCUGGUAGUCC